rnacentral:rRNA from 1 species
AUGGUUGAAGGUUUAGCACUCAAAUUUGGCCUAACACUGGCGCAAAGGGCGGGGUGUAAUGGCAUAAUCAUCAAUUCAGACAACCUGGAGGUGAUAGAGACUAUGCAGGACGUAGGACAAUCAGCGGGUGCGGCGGCGGCAAUUUUCGAGGACUGCUUUCACUAUGCAUGUGAUUUUGUCAUGACUAGAUUCGAACAUUGUAAUAGAGAGGCAAAUAAAGUAGCUCAUGAACUUGCUAGAUUAGCUAGAUUUUCUUUGACUUCACACUAUUUUGAGGAGCCUCUAAAUGAAAUUGUAAUUAUUCUCACAAACAAUGUAACAGUUAUCUCUAAUGAAUAA